GAAAGUAAGAAAGGGCGUAUGGCGGAUGCCUAGGCUCACGGAGGCGAUGAAGGACGUGAUAAGCUGCGAUAAGCUUCGGGUAGGUGCAAAUAACCUUUGAUCCGAAGAUUUCCGAAUGGGACAACCUAGCCGUCUGAAGGACGGCUACUCUUACCAAUGUAAGAGAGCUAACGCAGGGAACUGAAACAUCUUAGUACCUGUAGGAAGAGAAAAUAAAUGAAUGAUUCCCCCAGUAGUGGCGAGCGAACGGGGAACAGCCCAAACCGUUGACGUCGCAAGGCGCCAGCGGGGUUGUAGGACCGCGACAUUGUAUGCAAAUCGUGAACAGAACACUUUGGAAAAUGUGACCAUAGACGGUGAUAGUCCAGUAUGUGAAGCGAAAUGCAGCAUAGCGGUAUCCUGAGUAACGCGGGACACGAGGAAUCCUGCGCGAAUCUGCCGGGACCAUCCGGUAAGGCUAAAUACUCCCGUGAGACCGAUAGCGAACGAGUACUGUGAAGGAAAGGUGAAAAGAACCCCGAGCAGGGGAGUGAAAUAGUUCCUGAAACCAUACGCCUACAAGCGGUCGGAGCAUCUUACGAUGUGACGGCGUGCCUUUUGCAUAAUGAUCCUACGAGUUACCGUCACUGGCGAGGUUGAGUGUCAUGAGACACGUAGCCGCAGUGAAAGCGAGCCUGAAUAGGGCGCAUAGUCAGUGGGGGUAGACGCGAAACCAAGUGAUCUACACUUGGCCAGGAUGAAGUCCCGGUAACACGGGAUGGAGGUCCGCACCAAUAAGCGUUGAAAAGCUUCUGGAUGAGCCGAGUGUAGGAGUGAAAGGCCAAUCAAACUUGGAGAUAGCUCGUACUCCCCGAAAGGCAUUUAGGUGCCGCGUCGGAUGGUCACCGUGAGAGGUAGAGCGACCGAUAGGACAAGAGGGCUUCACCGCCUAUCGAGUCCUGACGAACUCCGAAUGCUCACGGUCUGCAGUCCGGCAGUAAGGGGGCGGGUGCUAAGGUCCGUCCCCGAGAGGAGAAGAAUCCAGACCGCCGUCUAAGGUCCCGGAGUUCUGCCUGAGUUAGUCUAACGAAGUCUGGUCCCUAUGACAGCUAGGAUGUUGGCUUGGAAGCAGCCAUUCAUUCAAAGAGUGCGUAACAGCUCACUAGUCGAGGGUCCGGGCAUGGAUAAUAAUCGGGUAUAAGGCAGACACCGAAGGCGCGGGAUAGCAUUUAAGAAAGUAUCGGUAGGGGAGCAUACUCACAGCGUGGAAUGGUGUACGUAAGUUAUCCUGGAGCGGUGAGUAAAGCAAAUGUAGGAAUAAGUAACGAUAAGGAGGGUUAGAUUCCCUCCCGCUGUAAGACCAAGGUUUCCCGGGCAAUGCCAAUCAGCCCGGGGUCAGUCGGGUCCUAAGUCUAAGCCGAACGGCGAUGGCGAUGGCAGAGACGGUUAAUAUUCCGUCACUGCCGCAUGGGGCGACGUGGAGACGGAGCAGUGAAACCACCGCGGGGCGACGGAAGUCCCCGUUGAAGAGUGUAGGUGUUGAGGAUGGCAGGCAAAUCCACCGUCCGAGCUGAACUUGAUAGUAUGGAGUCUUCUUCGGAAGAAUCCAAUAGUGUGGGUAAUCAUACUCCCGAGAAAAUCCGCUAAGCUUAACCCAUGCGGCACCCGUACCGCAAACGGACACACGUGGUCGGGUAGAACAUACUAAGGCGUUGAGAGAUUCAUGGUUAAGGAACUAGGCAAAUUGACCCUGUAACUUCGGGAUAAAGGGUCCUCGUGAUGAGCGAGGCGCAGAGAAUAGGUCCAGGCAACUGUUUAACAAAAACACAGGGCUGUGCAAACUCGAAAGAUGACGUAUACAGCCUGACACCUGCCCGGUGCCGGAAGGUUAAGAGGAGAUGUCACACUUAUGUGGAAGCAUUGAAUUGAAGCCCCGGUAAACGGCGGCCGUAACAAUAACGGUCCUAAGGUAGCGAAAUUCCUUGUCGGGUAAGUUCCGACCUGCACGAAUGG
rnacentral:rRNA from 1 species